GUUAGUGGCGGACGGGUGAGUAACGCGUGAGAAUCUGCCCUCAGGAGGGGGAUAACGGUUGGAAACGACCGCUAAUACCCCAUAUGCCGCGAGGUGAAAUGAAUUUCGCCUGAGGAUGAGCUCGCGUCUGAUUAGCUAGUUGGUGGGGUAAGAGCCUACCAAGGCUUCGAUCAGUAGCUGGUCUGAGAGGAUGAUCAGCCACACUGGGACUGAGACACGGCCCAGACUCCUACGGGAGGCAGCAGUGGGGAAUUUUCCGCAAUGGGCGAAAGCCUGACGGAGCAACGCCGCGUGAGGGAUGAAGGCCUCUGGGCUGUAAACCUCUUUUAUCAAGGAAGAAGAUCUGACGGUACUUGAUGAAUAAGCCACGGCUAAUUCCGUGCCAGCAGCCGCGGUAAUACGGGAGUGGCAAGCGUUAUCCGGAAUUAUUGGGCGUAAAGCGUCCGCAGGCGGUCUUACAAGUCUGUCGUUAAAGCGUGGAGCUUAACUCCAUUUCGGCGAUGGAAACUGUAAGACUAGAGUGUGGUAGGGGCAGAGGGAAUUCCCGGUGUAGCGGUGAAAUGCGUAGAUAUCGGGAAGAACACCAGUGGCGAAGGCGCUCUGCUGGGCCAUAACUGACGCUCAUGGACGAAAGCUAGGGGAGCGAAAGGGAUUAGAUACCCCUGUAGUCCUAGCCGUAAACGAUGAACACUAGGUGUCGGGGGAAUCGACCCCCUCGGUGUCGUAGCCAACGCGUUAAGUGUUCCGCCUGGGGAGUACGCACGCAAGUGUGAAACUCAAAGGAAUUGACGGGGGCCCGCACAAGCGGUGGAGUAUGUGGUUUAAUUCGAUGCAACGCGAAGAACCUUACCAGGGUUUGACAUCCUGCGAAUCCCUUGGAAACUUGGGAGUGCCUUCGGGAGCGCAGUGACAGGUGGUGCAUGGCUGUCGUCAGCUCGUGUCGUGAGAUGUUGGGUUAAGUCCCGCAACGAGCGCAACCCACGUCUUUAGUUGCCAGCAUUUAGUUGGGCACUCUAGAGAGACCGCCGGUGAUAAACCGGAGGAAGGUGUGGAUGACGUCAAGUCAUCAUGCCCCUUACAUCCUGGGCUACACACGUACUACAAUGCUACGGACAAAGGGCAGCAAACUCGCGAGAGCUAGCCAAUCCCAUAAACCGUGGCUCAGUUCAGAUCGUAGGCUGCAACUCGCCUACGUGAAGGAGGAAUCGCUAGUAAUCGCAGGUCAGCAUACUGCGGUGAAUACGUUCCCGGGCCUUGUACACACCGCCCGUCACACCAUGGAAGUUGGCCACGCCCGAAGUCGUUACUCCAACCCUUGUGGAGGAGGAUGCCGAAGGUGGGGCUGAUGACUGGGGUGAAAGUCGUAACAAGGUAGCCGUACCGGAAGGUGCGGCUGGAUCACCUCCU
rnacentral:rRNA from 1 species